UUAGCUAUCAUUUUCACGACUCGAGGGGGUACUUACGUGUGACUCCUUGGCUGUUAUGUCUUGUGGUUUCGUGUUGUGUUGGAACCUUCACCACCAUCACCACCACGACCACAGCAAGUCCAAGGUUCGUUCUUGGUCAGUGGUUUGGAGCCUCGCGCCGUGGUGUGAGUCCUCGUGUGUCUCAGUCGGCGCCGCAGGGUCGGGGAGUAGCUCAAACCACCUUACGCCGGUCGUUUCUGUCCAGCACGGAGGGAGGCAGCGACCAGAAGCCGGGGAAAAAGUAAAGAAACCAGCUCAAGGGGAAAAAUAAUGAGAGAGAGAAAAGCCCGCUAAUCACCGCUCCUACAUAAGAAAGUACAGAUGAGUGGCCAAAAGAGACGUCGAUUUCGGAUGAUGAUCUCCACUGAUAGUUCGUAAAUAGUGAUAAUGAUCUCUCACGGGCGGACGUGGCUGAGGCGUUCAAUACGAGUUCUUAAGGGAAUGGACGCCCAGGAUGCAUUCAGCUCUUAUUGGCAGACGUGAAGGCGGUCGUUGUGGUGAAGUUGGUGGGAGUGGCUCGCGGACUGUUGGGUUCUGCGAGCAACUUGGCAAGGGAUGAGAUGGAAGGAAUCGGCGGCCGUGUGUGGAGGUGCCGUGUGUGGAGGUGUAUAGAGGAGGCUGAGAGGAAGGAAACAGGGGAUGAGGAGGCGAAGAGCAGAGGUGUAGGGGAAGGAGAUGGGGAACAGGAAUGGUGGAGACGAUAAGGAAGGGAAGUGAAUUUGGGGGAACUGAAGUGGAGGCGAAGAGGAGAGGUGGAGGAGAUGUGGAAGGGAAGAGGAAGGAUGGAUGAACUGAAAACUUUAGGUGGUGAAGGAAGGUAGAGGAUAUUUUGUUUUGUUUUGCGUUAAUGUAGUUGUGAACUGUAGUGCAAUGACUGUAUUUUCCUAGUUACUGAAUUAUGAACGUGUGUUAGUGACGGAAUCGGACAAGGAGUGAUGGGAAGGAACUACUCACGCUGGAGGUUUUCUAUGACUGAGAACGGUGGCGGAGAGAAGGGAGGGGGGACGCUGGGAAAGGUCUAGGGGUAAGUCUAGAAGGAGAGGAAGAGGGAUGGGGGUAGGCGACGUAUUUCCCGGGUCCAUUGAUCACUAUGAUGAAUGGGGUGAGCAGUGAGGGAGCGGAGUCAGGGCCGAGGGUGCUGAGUAACGAAUAUAGGUCGGGAAGUAAGAGGAUUGGGCCUAAGAGCUAAGAAGAUUGAGCUGGAAAUGAGAGGCUGGGGAGAAAGUGGUUUGUGAUGAGCGUCAAGUGAGGGGUGAAGGCAUGAGUGUUAGGUGAAGUGAGGGGAGGAGGAGGUAGUAGAGGGCCCGGGAUGGGAUUUGUAGCACAGAACAAUAAAGUAAUGUUUUUUUAGUCGUUAUCAUCCCUUGUUUUACGUGAAGAGUAAGGGGAUGAAGAGCUCUAGUAGAAGAAUAAGUUAAUGCUCUUUUGCGGGUAUUAUUCCUUAGCUUAUGUAAAGAGUGAAGGGAGGAGGAGAUAGUACAGGGGACAAAAUGGGACUUGUAGCACAGAACAAUAAAGUAAUGUUUUUGAGGGUAUUGUUUUUCAUUUAACGAUUUAUAUAGGGGUUGUGAAAUGAAAAAAAGGCGCAGAUAACCUAAACAAACGCACAUACAGACGAAAAUAUAAUAAUAAACAUGACUUUUCUUCCUCUCGCGCACACGCUCAGAAGGAAAGGAAAAGAAGCCAAGAGAGAGAGAGAAAAAAAUGUUUACCAACUUAACAAACAUGUUUCUUCACUUGGAGACGUGGCGUGUCACCUUAACUUUUUUACGAGGGGGUCCGUUUGUCGUUUAACAGAAUAAUUACAUUAGAACGACGGCUCUCGGGAAUAACGAGGCUUAAC